UCGAUGAGCGAUUAAAGCUUCUUGAAGAAGAAAAUAAUACUCUAAAAAGGACAUUCUUUGAGGCUGUAAAGGAUCGAAAACGGUUGGCAGAUGAGAUAUAUGAGCACUUCUGGAUCAUAGAUCGCUCUCUACAUGCUAGAGACCAGUUUCAAGGAACUUCCGCUUCUUCAGUAGUCAGCAAUUUGAAGGACUUGGAGAUCAGAAGAACUGGGACUGGCCUCUCACUACUUCUCUGUCAGUCUUCAAAUCCGCUUGUGCUGAGCAAAGAAUAUACAACUACCACGCCGAUCUGCCAAAGCAACACAUGAUUCUUGGAUGAGAGGAAACCUCAUCAAUUGCUUCUCGAAGCUGUACACAAGCAUUUAGAUGCAUGAGCCAACAGAAGAGGUGUCAUCCACAUUAUCCUUGAGGUUGUUUCAAGCUCUACAGCUUC